CUACGGGAGGCUCCAGUGAGGAAUAUUGCACAAUGGGGGGAACCCUGAUGCAGCAACGCCGCGUGGAGGAUGACGCAUUUCGGUGUGUAAACUCCUUUUAUAUGUCAAGAAAAUGACGGUAGCAUAUGAAUAAGCACCGGCUAACUCCGUGCCAGCAGCCGCGGUAAUACGGAGGGUGCAAGCGUUAUUCGGAAUCACUGGGCGUAAAGGACGCGUAGGCGGGCUUGUAAGUCAGGUGUGAAAUCCUACAGCUUAACUGUAGAACUGCACUUGAAACUACGAGCCUAGAGUAUGGGAGGGGGAGAUGGAAUUAGUGGUGUAGGGGUAAAAUCCGUAGAUAUCACUAGGAAUACCUAAAGCGAAGGCGAUCUCCUGGAACAUAACUGACGCUAAGGCGUGAAAGCGUGGGGAGCAAACAGGAUUAGAUACCCGAGUAGUC
rnacentral:rRNA from 1 species